rnacentral:rRNA from 1 species
AUGAACGCUAGCUACAGGCUUAACACAUGCAAGUCGAGGGGCAGCAUCAUCAAAGCUUGCUUUGAUGGAUGGCGACCGGCGCACGGGUGAGUAACACGUAUCCAACCUGCCGACAACACUGGGAUAGCCUUUCGAAAGAAAGAUUAAUACCGGAUGGCAUAAUUAUUCCGCAUGGGAUAAUUAUUAAAGAAUUUCGGUUGUCGAUGGGGAUGCGUUCCAUUAGGCAGUUGGCGGGGUAACGGCCCACCAAACCUACGAUGGAUAGGGGUUCUGAGAGGAAGGUCCCCCACAUUGGAACUGAGACACGGUCCAAACUCCUACGGGAGGCAGCAGUGAGGAAUAUUGGUCAAUGGACGAGAGUCUGAACCAGCCAAGUAGCGUGAAGGAUGACUGCCCUAUGGGUUGUAAACUUCUUUUAUACGGGAAUAAAGUUAGCCACGUGUGGCUUUUUGUAUGUACCGUAUGAAUAAGGAUCGGCUAACUCCGUGCCAGCAGCCGCGGUAAUACGGAGGAUCCGAGCGUUAUCCGGAUUUAUUGGGUUUAAAGGGAGCGUAGGCGGGUUGUUAAGUCAGUUGUGAAAGUUUGCGGCUCAACCGUAAAAUUGCAGUUGAUACUGGCGACCUUGAGUGCAACAGAGGUAGGCGGAAUUCGUGGUGUAGCGGUGAAAUGCUUAGAUAUCACGAAGAACUCCGAUUGCGAAGGCAGCUUACUGGAUUGUAACUGACGCUGAUGCUCGAAAGUGUGGGUAUCAAACAGGAUUAGAUACCCUGGUAGUCCACACAGUAAACGAUGAAUACUCGCUGUUGGCGAUAUACGGUCAGCGGCCAAGCGAAAGCAUUAAGUAUUCCACCUGGGGAGUACGCCGGCAACGGUGAAACUCAAAGGAAUUGACGGGGGCCCGCACAAGCGGAGGAACAUGUGGUUUAAUUCGAUGAUACGCGAGGAACCUUACCCGGGCUUAAAUUGCAACUGACGGAAUCGGAAACGGUUCUUUCUUUGGACAGUUUUGAAGGUGCUGCAUGGUUGUCGUCAGCUCGUGCCGUGAGGUGUCGGCUUAAGUGCCAUAACGAGCGCAACCCUUACGGGUAGUUACCAUCAGGUUAUGCUGGGGACUCUACCCGGACUGCCGUCGUAAGAUGUGAGGAAGGUGGGGAUGACGUCAAAUCAGCACGGCCCUUACGUCCGGGGCUACACACGUGUUACAAUGGGGGGUACAGAAGGCAGCUACACGGCGACGUGGUGCUAAUCCCAAAAGCCUCUCUCAGUUCGGAUUGGAGUCUGCAACCCGACUCCAUGAAGCUGGAUUCGCUAGUAAUCGCGCAUCAGCCACGGCGCGGUGAAUACGUUCCCGGGCCUUGUACACACCGCCCGUCAAGCCAUGAAAGCCGGGGGUACCUGAAGUACGUAACCGCGAGGAGCGUCCUAGGGUAAAACUGGUGAUUGGGGCU